GAUGAACGCUAGCGGCAGGCUUAAUACAUGCAAGUCAAGGGGGUAGCAAUACAACCGGCGCACGGGUGAGUAACACGUACACAACAUACCAUAUACUGAGGUAUAGCUUCGGGAAACUGAAGGUAAUCCCUCAUAGUAUUGUGAAAGGGCAUCUUUUUUACAAUUAAAGUUUCGACGGUAUAUGAUUGGUGUGCGUUUGAUUAGCUAGUUGGUAGGGUAACGGCCUACCAAGGCAACGAUCAAUAGCUGGCGUGAGAGCGCGACCAGCCACACUGGAACUGAGACACGGUCCAGACUCCUACGGGAGGCAGCAGUAGGGAAUAUUGGACAAUGGGCGAAAGCCUGAUCCAGCCAUGCCGCGUGAUAGAUGAAGGCCCCUCUGGGUUGUAAAUAUCUUUUAUCUGGGAAGAAACACUUCUAUUCUUAGAAGCUUGACGGUACCAGAGGAAUAAGCACCGGCUAACUCCGUGCCAGCAGCCGCGGUAAUGUCGA
rnacentral:rRNA from 1 species